UAUUUAAAAUUUCAUAUAUUUGUACCGUUAAAAAUUGGUGUGAUUGAUGAAAUAACUAGAUAAUGACACAUGGUGUACCUCAUAUUGACAUACAAUGAUCGAUUUUUAAUCGUAAAAAUGAAUAGAAUUUUUAAUA
rfam:Gossypium hirsutum cultivar TM-1 scaffold3221.1_1, whole genome shotgun sequence